rnacentral:rRNA from 1 species
CACGGAGGGGGCAAGCGUUGUCCGGAUUUAUUGGGCGUAAAGAGCUCGUAGGCGGCUCAGUAAGUCAGGUGUGAAACCUCCAGGCUCAACCUGGAGACGCCACCUGAUACUGCUGUGGCUAGAGUCCGGUAGGGGAGCGUGGAAUUCCUGGUGUAGCGGGGAAAUGCGCAGAUAUCAGGAGGAACACCAGCGGCGAAGGCGGCGCUCUGGGCCGGAACUGACGCUGAGGAGCGAAAGCGUGGGUAGCAAACAGG